CUUAAGUUCUGCUCUAAGGUACUUAAUCUGGUUUGGCCUCAUGCUCUCACUCUGUUUUUAGGAAUUUGUCUACCUCAGCCAUUAUGGAAAGAAUUCCAAGCAGGUGGCCACGUCCUGUGUGGCAUCCUCCAUGGAAGAACUACAGGGUCAUAAGUGGGCAUUUGGGAUGGGUGAGAUCUAUUGCAUUUGAUCCUAGCAAUCAAUGAUUCUGCACUGGCUCUGCAGAUCGGACAAUUAAGAUAUGGGAUCUAGCAAGCGGAAGGCUGAAGCUAACGCUGACAAGAC